AGUGAACGCUGGCGGCAGGCCUAACACAUGCAAGUCGAACGGCAGCACAAGAGUGCUUGCUCUCUGGGUGGCGAGUGGCGGCCGGGUGAGGAAUGCAUCGGAAUCUGCCCAUUUGGGGGGGAUAACCUCGGGAAACCGGGACUAAUACCGCAUACGACCUACGGGUGAAAGCAGGGGAUCUACGGACCUUGCGCAGAUGGAUGAGCCGAGGCCGGAUUAGCUAGUGGGAGGGGUAAAGGCCCACCAAGGCGACGAUCCGUAGCUGGUCUGAGAGGAUGAUCGGCCACCCUAGAACUGAGACACGGCCCAGACUCCUGCGGGAGGCAGCAGUGGGGAAUGUUGGACAAUGGGCGCAAGCCUGAUCCAGCCAUGCCGCGUGUGUGAAGAAGGCCUUCGGGUUGUAAAGCACUUUUGUUGGGAAAGAAAAGCAGCCGGUUAAUACCCGGUUGUCAUGACGGUACCCAAAGAAUAAGCACCGGCUAACUUCGUG
rnacentral:rRNA from 1 species